GCGUGGAGUUGGCUCUAGAGCGGGGCUGUUUGGAAAUGGGAUUUGGGGCCUGAGACUGUUGGAGGUUCCAUGUGGCAGCCUGGACUUAGACAAUUUUGGAAUGAACCAUUGAGAAACACCUUAUCUCUGAGGAGAAAUGGCUGUGAACAGCUGAGAAUGCAGCAAGAAGUUGGAAGACCCUCAGAGAGAAAUCGGUAACAUGGCUUCAUGGACAUUAUCCACAUAUUACUUCCUUGUUGAGUCUCAAAGCCGUAAUGCUUUCCUGCCACAGUCCUGAUGAUAUCCAUUGUGUGGAUUCGAGAAGCUUUGUGGGUCUCAGUAGUGCACAACUCGGGGAUGGAGAAGGAAAGUGUGAGGUGAACUCUCCAUGUGGUCUUUAUGCCCCUCACACAAAGCUGGGCUCCAU
rnacentral:lncRNA from 1 species